rnacentral:sRNA from 1 species
UUUGAAACGCUUACCUGAUACAAAGAAUCCACAGACGAUCAGAAGAGAGCAGUUUCUGUAAAAAUCCAAAACCGAUCGCCAAGACAUGACCGCCAGUUUCGUUAAAUUUAAGGUAUCGAGGGAACAUAAACCUAUGAAAAGCAUUAUUGGUUGUGUCUGCUGUAGAAAAGACCCACGACGUUUAUUGUUCAAAGCCGUCGUCCGAAAGAUUUCAUUGUUUUUACUUAAAUAGUAGUUGCAUACUUGUGUGUAAAUUAUCUUCAGACUACAUCUUACAACGGGUAUAAAUCAAUUGUUGAGGUAUAUAAAAAACCCAAAGCAAAAUAAACACAACUUUUUCGGACAUCUCACAUUUCUGGGGUUAACUUUUCUUGACGUGUUGUUAGGUUCCUCACUGAAAAGUAUUACAAGGAACAUAACCAUUAGACUCGGCAUCAUAAGUAAGGAUUGUCUCUACAGUGUAACGUGAGACAUAUUGUAUGAUAUUUACCUUGAAAAUAUAUUAAACCUUAUUUUUCCAGAAAACCUUCAAUGGUCGAAGUUGUAUAACUUUAAAGCUCAGAAAAUGUUAAAAUUACAACCAAUCUUUGAAAGUACAUAAUAUGGUAUAUAAAUAAAUUACGAAAGGAUUAGC